AGAUUGAACGCUGGCGGCGUGCCUUACACAUGCAAGUCGAACGGCAGCACGGGGGGCAACCCUGGUGGCGAGUGGCGAACGGGUGAGUAAUGCAUCGGAACGUGCCCAGUAGUGGGGGGAUAACUAGUCGAAAGAUUAGCUAAUACCGCAUACGACCUAUGGGUGAAAGCGGGGGAUUCGCAAGAACCUCGCGCUAUCGGAGCGGCCGAUGUCUGAUUAGCUAGUGGCGGGUAAAAGCCCACCAAGGCUUCGAUCAGUAGCUGGUCUGAGAGGACGACCAGCCACACUGGGACUGAGACACGGCCCAGACUCCUACGGGAGGCAGCAGUGGGGAAUUUUGGACAAUGGACGCAAGCCUGAUCCAGCCAUGCCGCGUGCGGGAAGAAGGCCUACGGUUGUAAACCGUCUUUGGCAGGAACGAAACGCGACGAGACGAAUAUCUCGCGUUAAUGACGGUACUGACUAGAA
rnacentral:rRNA from 1 species